rnacentral:rRNA from 1 species
GACGAACGCUGGCGGCGUGCUUAACACAUGCAAGUCGAACGAUGAAGAAGAGAAACGCGAACUUCGGUUCAAAUUUCACUUCGGAUUAGUGGCAGACGGGUGAGUAACGCGUGAGCAACCUACCUCUUACAAAGGGAUAGCCUCGGGAAACCGUGAUUAAUACCAUAUGACACAUUCAUAAGGCAUCUUAAGAAUGUUAAAGCUACGGCGGUAAGAGAUGGGCUCGCGUCCCAUUAGCUGGUUGGUGAGGUAACGGCCAACCAAGGCGACGAUGGGUAACCGGCCUGAGAGGGUGAACGGUCACAUUGGAACUGAGACACGGUCCGAACUCCUACGGGAGGCAGCAGUGGGGAAUAUUGCACAAUGGAGGGAACUCUGAUGCAGCGACGCCGCGUGAGCGAUGAAGGAAUUCGUUUCGUAAAGCUCUGUUCUAUGGGAAGAAAAGGACUGUACCAUAGGAGAAAGCCCCGGCUAAAUACGUG